AGUCUUUGCUGGAGUGUCCACACAGUCCAUGGGGUACCCAAAGCUGUGGACAUCUCAAGGAUGCUGCAGUCACUUGUUCUGCAUCCAUCCAUUAGGGUCUACCCAAAGUGAACAGUACUCUCUGGAUAGAAUUAAAGUGAAGCUGGUAUUGCUGACAGCGCCGUUUCACGAAAGGCCCCUCGGCCCAUCCACCUGUCUAGUAACUGUUUCCCUGCCUC